rnacentral:tRNA from 1 species
GGCGCGGUAGCUCAGUUGGUAGAGCAACGGAUUUACAGUCCGUCGCGUUUAGCCACUUCGCUACUCCUCCA